GUAAUUUUUAAUUUUGCGCUGCCUCUGAAAAGGCUGCAUUGUAUUUAAUAUGCUGUAUUUAAUAAUUUAAUCAAAUUCAUCAAGAGCUGGUGAGUAAUAAUACAGUUCAAAUAGAAAUUACUUCAUACUUUUAAGUGCAGUUUUAAUGUUUUUCGAAGUCGGUUAUAUUUUUUUCCAAAAAUUAAUUUCUAGGUAGAUGCUAAUGGAAAUUUCUUUUAACGUAUAUUAUUUGAAUGUAAAUUUUAAUGCAUAUUGUUUAUAAUACAAAUCUUGAUGUACAUUAUAUUAACGCAUAUUUUAAUAUAUAUUGUUUUAAUGUCACUGUUUAGAAUUACUUAUUUUAAAACUAGUCUAGUUGAUGUUACGUCAAGAGCGUACAAUAUUGAUAACAAUUUAUUCGAUAACUUGAACUAUUUCUGGAACACUGGAAAUUUAUUCAUUUAUUGAAACAUGCUAAUGUAGAUUAAAUUUAAUAUAUAUACUAUUUUAAUGCAAAUUUUAAUGUAUAUUUUUUUAAUGUUACUGUUUAGUGUCGGGGUUACACCGAGUGUACAUUGUUGACAGUAAUUAUUACUACUAUUACACAUUGUUUGUUUGUCAACAUUUGAAAAUCUAAAUAAUGAAGUAUUCCCUAGUCCUUAACAAUCAAAUAUUCCCCAUGAAUUUUAUACACUAAUACCUAUUAUUCCAUUCGUAAUAAAAUAAUAUUAUUAAUAAUGACACGUCAAGAAUGAAUACUGCUGGUUAUUCCUGGUAAUUCCCCAGAGAACAGCGCAACGUGUUGCGCACACCAGUUACGUGCAAUUAAAAAUUCACGACGUAAGCGGACGAUUGAUAACGCAACCGCCACAAGGACGAAGUUCUAUGACUUGCAGAACUCUAGGAAAUACGCAGCCAACAAUCUACAUACGUCCGUAGUCGCGAAUCGGUCGCCGAUAACGCAGUUAGUAUACACCGAGCAACGUAAAACCCCUUUCGACUCGCGGUGCGCGAAUCGGUAAACAAGUCGAACCGUUUACGUUCAACGACACGACGAAAGCAGCAGACUGGCAAAACACACAACGUCGCUGGAAAAUCCUGUCUAUCAAUUGCGAAUCGACCGUUGAUAAUACACGUGGCGUGGUUCGCGCACGAGAAGUCGAGGGUAGCCGUUUCCCAUCAAAUUGCGAAGUCGAGCACGGAGUAUCACCACACUUUAUAGUUCAUUUAAUUUCUGUACUAUUGUUUUUUUAUCAAAUUUGUAUUACCGAAGCAAUGCUUUCAUGAGUGAAAUCGAUUUAGUAGAAUUAAUCAAGGAAGGAUUAGAUAAAAAUGAAUAUUUGGAUAUAGGUACGAGUUAAAUCGAAAAAUGAGGGUAUGAGGAUUUGCACUCGGGACCCAUAGAUUAUGAGUCGAGUACUUUCUUUACUGAACCAUCGGCUCACACUAUCAGUCGUGUUUUUAUUUGACUCAUUAUACUAUAGAUGACGUUGGUUAUUUCUUUACAUGGAUAAAGCGUAAGUGUUCUGUACCUUCCCUUCCCUUCCCUUCUCUAAUAAGGAAUAUUUGAUUGAUACAAGGACUAUAGAAUAUUUCAUUAUUUAGUUGUUUAAGUAUAGAAAAAUAAACAGCGUGUAUAAUAACAGGCAAUGUAUGAAUAAAUUUUUAGAGCCCUAGACAAAAUUUACGUUAUUCCAUAAAUUAUUAUCAAUAAUGUGCACUCUUGGUGUAACAUCCACACUUGAAAUACUACUUUCAAAAUAAAUUCAGAAUAGGUCAAAACGACCAUGCUCUGUAAACUUAUUGCGAGACGAAUUCCUCGAUUAGCGAAGCUACUCGAGUCUAGUAUCGUUUUGUCUGAAAUGCCUAGUUUCCGUUGAAUUAUUAACUUGUUGCCUUAUAACGCUGCGUUAUUUUAGUGACUCGGAUUACGAUCCAAGUGUGACGAACACGAGUCGUAUUCGCAACUCAUAGCAAUGUACCAAUUUUGCUGUCGUCGACAUUCAACGUUUGCAACGGUUGAACGUACACAACGAGUAUAUACAUUAAUGGAUUUCGUCAUAAUCUUUUGCUUUACGACUUACGGAAUGUUAAAUAAUUCUAGGAAUAAUAAUCAGAGGAUAGGACAUUUUUCCACAAACGAGAUAAGAUGACAGAAUUAAGGCAAUCAACUCUUAAGAAGAUACAGUGGGUGUAGAAAGUAUUCGUACACCGAUCAAUUUCCCAAAAAACUGUGUAAAAUUGUAAUUUAUUAACUUAUAUUUUAUAAACAAUGUCAUUCUACAUGUUCUAGGAAAUCUCUAGAAUAGAUAGAUUACAACAAAAAUAGCUAUUUAUGUAAGUUGCGAAAUUAACAAGAAAAAAAACAAUUAAGCGAUAGAAAUGUUGAAGCAAUAAGUAUUCGCACAACUGUUUAAAAGUACUUUACUGGAAAUUUGAUGUUUUCUAAUUCUUACGGAGCAAUAAACAAAUGUGUUUACGUUACAAACUCUGCUGUAAAUGGUUCGUCAUAAGAAUCGUACAAAUACUUAUUGCUUCUAUACUUUUACCCACUUUUCGCAAUUUUUUAUUAAUUUCACAAAUUAUAUUAACUAGUAAAUGUUGUUUGAACUAUAUCUAUCUUAGAAACUUCCGAGAAUAUGUAAAAUAUCAUAGAUUAUAAAAAAAGAAGUUAAGAAACUACAAUUUCACACAAAACUAUGUUGGCAAAUUGAUAGAUGUACGAAUACAUUCUAUACCCACUGUAUAUGUAUAGUAGAACAAGUACCUUUUGAAACCGAAUUGGUGGCAAUCGAUAGUUUCGAUAAUUGCGAUUCUCAAUUUAGUGGAAUAAUACUCUUGUUGCGUAAUCGCUAGGGCUUAGCCAAUUUGACCCCUAAUCGAGAAAACAGAUUAAGUACGUCUUAUUUUAUCUAACCGAAUAUGCGAUUAGGUUUGCUAUAAAAUUUUGAUCAGAACGAUUCGCGAUUAUAAUUUCUAUAUAUUUGUAUUCUACUAUCUUUUUAUUAUUCAUAAAUCCAUCUCUUUAUCUAUAAAGAUGCAUUUGUCUAAUAACAAUAUACAGACUAAACGAAAACUGGGAGCGCCAGGAUUCGAACUUGAGUUCUCCAGAUUCAUAGUCAACGCUUUUCCCCACGGGACUAUUCCGCAUCCUACUAGUCGUUGUUCUUACUGAACUUCUUAUUACUGACAAUGGGUAUGAGGGGGGGGGGGCACGAUACUACAUCAUCUAAUUGAAUAAAUAACUGAAUUUAGAUGAUUACUUGAAUUUUAUAAAAAAAAUUAUUCUGAUGACUUAUUACAAGGCUAAGGAUUUUAAAGAUGAGAGUUCAACACAAUUCACGAAUGAUUCAACACACGAAUCGUCUCGUGGCGAGCACAUCGAAGACUAUACUUCGUUAUUAACGCGUUUUAUCGAUUCCACGUGGACGUACCGCGGGUUUCUACGUUGCUUCAGGUGAGAUGCAGCGCAUAUCUUCCGACUGGUUGUCCAUGUAUGCCACGGUGCUACGAUUCAAGGCCGUUAUUGACAAUCUAUGACCUACUAUUAUUUUCAAACGUGAUGGAGACAUUUACGCGAAAAAAGAAAAACGAACGCAAGUUCACCGUUAAAGGAUUUUCCAAGAGGAGCUUCAGGAUUUUGUUUUUUUAGCAACACCUGGAAGCAUAGUCGACAUAUUAAUGUAAAUUAAAUAAAUAUAAAUAUGUUACAUAAAUAUAAUAUAUAAAUUAGAUAUAUUUUAUACCAUUCGUGUUUUAUCAAAAAAUAAAAUCACGAAGCCUCUUUAUAAUUAUAUUUCCCCUCUUGAGAAAUCCUUUAUAAUUCUUCGAUCACGAUUUUCAAAAUAUCAUUUUGCAAGCAAUGACUGGGAUCAAACGUUUCUCCGAGGAACUUGAUCGUACAACGUAUACCAUAGUGCGAUUAUAAGGCUUAUCUCGCUUUUAUCGAACAAGGAGCUUAAGGUUUCGUUACUGUCGUUUUAUGAGAUCGACGGUAUUUUAUUUAUUUAUACUCAUUCGUCUUUAUAUUUAAACUGUAUUACUCUUAAACGUGAUAAUGUUUAGUUUAUCUCCUGAAGGCAACCAGCGAACGAUCAACAAAUUCCAAAAAAUAAAUAAAAUUAUGCUCCGCUUACCAAUGUCAUUCUACAUUACCAAGAAAUCUAUAUUGAUUCAAUGUUAUUUCCGUAGCUAUUGUUAACCAACAGGCUACCUUUGAAAUAACAUUGUUUGAAAUAUGAAAUAAAUUUGUAAGGUCAGGUAUUUCUGUAACAAUAUACGUUCCUCAAAUUUCCAAUACUUUUGGGUUCAUUUAAUGAUACCAAAGCCCAAAAAGUGUAUUUCCAGAAUUUUUGUUUGUUCACCCAGUACUUAAUACUUUGUAUGCGAUAAACAAAAAUAAAACCGAAACAAAAAAUAUUAAUUUAUUCACACGCUCCAAUUGGCACUACAUAAACAAAGAUGUACCGUAUACUUUCUAAUGUAGUAGGGUAUACUCAAUUUUAACAAAUUGUAUCCGAUAUUAGUCUGUAAAUAACGUAUGAACCUAUUUCACGGUUAUUUAAUUUUUUAUCUACAAUUACGCAAUCAUAUUUGAUAAAAUACCAACAGAAACAACAAUUUUGUGUAAUCAAAAUAGUCUGAAAAUACUCUGGGAAAGUGUCUAACGUACGCCACCAAAAAUAUUGAGUUGAUUCAUAAAUAACUUUCAUUGCAUUUACAAUUUUUAAUUUUCCUGUUAAGUAAGAGCAAGUGACCAAUGAUGGUGAUUACAUAAUUGAUUAAGCUUCGUUACGUAGUAAUGUAUUUAGAUAUAAAUUUUAAGUUAUAAAACGGAAGUUAUUUGUGAACCAACCCAAUAUUUCUAAAUUUUUCAAUAAAUCAAAUUAAAAAUGUAGUUAUAACCGAAUUCGAUGGUACUAUAUGUGCAUAGAAGGUGCUUCUUUCUGAUGCUCCAAGACCUCCCUUCUAACGUCAUAAUUGUAUUAUAACAGAAAUAUUCACGGUUCCGACUGAUGUAAUAAAAUUCUAUAGAACAUCGAGGAAGAUGAUUCAAAGUAUUUCGCUGAUGCGGGCCAUUAAGGAAACUUCGAACACGUGUACCAGACGACUGGCAGUGGAAUCGAGAGUGGUAGGGAUAAACAACAUGCGUCGUGUAUAAACCAAUGCUAGCGCGUAGUUCGAUAAAGUCACUUUUACUGCGCUACUCGACUCCGUCAGGCGGAUAGAUCCAUGAUAUAUGUAUAUGUAUGUAUAGGAAACUCGACUAACCGAAGUCGGCUACAAACGACUAUUUCGUAGCUCGUGUGGCUUCUUCGCGCACCGAGAAGAGGUACAAACGCGUAAUUCCUGCGUUAGACAAGUCUCGUAAAGUUACAUUUGUUGUACAGAUAGCAGAAUAACGUAUCGCGUGACGUUUAAUUAAAUAUGUACACACAACGGAAACGGUGUUCUGCUUCUGAUACGUUACAAUGGUAAAUAAGCAUUCCAUCAGUAUCUUAAUACAUUCAGUAUCCCCCGAAUCCAAAAAUAUCCAGUCAACUUUUACACACUGACUACGUUAAAAACAAUGGGCCAAAUAAGCCAACGGAUGCAUUAAAUAUACUGCACGUACAAGCCAAGGACACAGAAAAGUGACAACGAUGCUGUGUUUACUUACCGUUGAGACCAUACUUCUCCUGGUUCCUCUUGACCUGAUCAACGGACAAUCCUUUC